rnacentral:rRNA from 1 species
UGAAUAAUGUUACUUUUUAACUACAUGGAUACCUGUGGUAAUUCUAGAGCUAAUACAUGCUGAAAACCCCAACUUCGGAAGGGGUGUAUUUAUUAGAUAAAAAACCAAUGCCCUUCGGGGCUCCUUGGUGAAUCAUAAUAACUUAACGAAUCGCAUGGCCUUGCGCCGGCGAUGGUUCAUUCAAAUUUCUGCCCUAUCAACUUUCGAUGGUAGGAUAGUGGCCUACCAUGGUGGCAACGGGUAACGGGGAAUUAGGGUUCGAUUCCGGAGAGGGAGCCUGAGAAACGGCUACCACAUCCAAGGAAGGCAGCAGGCGCGCAAAUUACCCAAUCCCGACACGGGGAGGUAGUGACAAUAAAUACUGAUACGGGGCUCUUUUGGGUCUCGUAAUUGGAAUGAGUACAAUCUAAAUCCCUUAACGAGGAACAAUUGGAGGGCAAGUCUGGUGCCAGCAGCCGCGGUAAUUCCAGCUCCAAUAGCGUAUAUUAAAGUUGUUGCAGUUAAAAAGCUCGUAGUUGAACCUUGGGUCUGGCUGACCGGUCCGCCUCACCGCGAGUACUGGUCCGGCUGGACCUUUCCUUCUGGGGAACCCCAUGGCCUUCACUGGCCGUGGGCGGGAACCAGGACUUUUACUGUGAAAAAAUUAGAGUGUUCAAAGCAGGCCUUUGCUCGAAUACAUUAGCAUGGAAUAAUAGAAUAGGACGUGCGGUUCUAUUUUGUUGGUUUCUAGGACCGCCGUAAUGAUUAAUAGGGAUAGUCGGGGGCGUCAGUAUUCAGCUGUCAGAGGUGAAAUUCUUGGAUUUGCUGAAGACUAACUACUGCGAAAGCAUUCGCCAAGGAUGUUUUCAUUAAUCAGGGAACGAAAGUUAGGGGAUCGAAGACGAUCAGAUACCGUCGUAGUCUUAACCAUAAACUAUGCCGACUAGGGAUCGGGCGGUGUUUCUAUUAUGACCCGCUCGGCACCUUACGAAAAAUCAAAGUUUUUGGGUUCUGGGGGGAAUAUGGUCCCAAGGCUGAAACUUAAAGAAAUUGACGGAAGGGCCCCCCAAGGGCGUGGAACCUGGCGGUUAAUUUUGACUCAAACCGGGGAAAACUCCCCAGGGUCCGAACAAAAUAAGGGAUUGGACAAAUUGGAAAACUCUCUUCUUGGAUCCUU